CCUACGGGAGGCACCAGUGGGGAAUAUUGCACAAUGGGCGCAAGCCCGAUGCAGCCAUGCCGCGUGUAUGAAGAAGGCCUUCGGGUUGUAAAGUACUUUCAGCGGGGAGGAAGGUGUUGUGGUUAAUAACCACAGCAAUUGACGUUACCCGCAGAAGAAGCACCGGCUAUCUCUGUGCCAGCAGCCGCGGUAAUACGGAGGGUGCAAGCGUUAAUUGGAAUUACUGGGCGUAAAGCGCACGCAGGCGGUCUGUCAAGUCGGAUGUGAAAUCCCCGGGCUCAACCUGGGAACUGCAUUCGAAACUGGCAGGCUAGAGUCUUGUAGAGGGGGGUAGAAUUCCAGGUGUAACGGUGAAAUGCGUAGAGAUCUGGAGGAAUACCGGUGGCGAAGGCGGCCCCCUGGACAAAGACUAACGCUCAGGUGCGAAAGCGUGGGGAGCAAACAGGAUUAGAUACCCCUGUAGUC
rnacentral:rRNA from 1 species